GUCUAUGGACACACCACCCUGAACGCACUCGGUCUCGUCUAAUCUCGGAAGCUAAGCAGGGUCAGGCCUGGUUAGAACUUGAAUGGGAGACCACCUGGGAAUACCGGGUGCCCUGGGCU
rnacentral:rRNA from 1 species